GGUGGCCCAGUUUUAUCAUUUCCGCUGGGCACUCAAGCAGUCAAGGAGGAGUUAGCCUGGCUAGAAGCCCUCUUGGGCCUGGACAGCUUCAUUGAUGUAGUCAGCCACAUUGAAAAAUGCCAUUGUGAGCGCAGGGAGGAAGAGAAUAGGGUGUUACAGAGCCGCCUUGCCCCGGCUCUGCACUAGCUCCCUUGAGCUCAUCCCCUGAAACUGAAGUUGGUGCAAUAACUUGUUCUUCUACUGUGGCAAGUCAGGGCAUGCACUCACUUACUGACUGUCGGGACCCCAGCCCGAAAAGUAUCGGGAAAUGAAUAAGGCCAAGUCUUCAUGGAAAUCCAGGUCCAUCAGGGCCCUCAUUGCAUCUCCAAGUUCCAAUUCAUUUGUGCAUCUCCAGAGAAACAUGACAAGUGGCAUUGCAGUGGGCACUUAUUGAUUCUGGGGCUGCGGACAAUUUCAUAAAUUUCGAGACAGCCCAAGAUCUGCAAAUCCUUGUCCUGCAGAAGUCACAUCAGAUGUUGUGGGAACCAUUGACAAGACCCUCCUGUCCUCUGGACUGGUGACUCAGGUAAUGUGCCCCUGGAAGCAGUAACCCAGGGACACAAAAGUGCUAACAUUCACUGUGAUGUGUUCCCUACAUUUUGGUGGGCUCACCUGGUUAGCAUGACAGGACCCCCAUGUUCUCUGGCAAACCCAGAAGACCAGCUUUUCCUCCAAGCAGGCCUAUCUCCAUAGCAACAGCAGCAAGUUCCUUGUCCAAGAGACCCAGUCCCAGACAGUGGUGAGUCCACCCCUGUGUGUACCAGGGCUCACAGCAACUGGCUGCAGUGAUCCAUUCUUGGGUCUGACACCCCAUAUUCCUGAUAAGUACCAGGAUUAUUUGGACAUUUUCAAAAAAAAAAUGUGGACACAUUGUCUCUGCACUGAGACCAUGACUGCCCUAUUGACCUACAAUUUUGGGCAACAGUUCCCUUUGGCCGUAUUUACGCAAUGUCUGAACCAGAACUGGUGGCUGUCUCUGCAUGUAGUCAAGAAAAACAGUCCAAAGGGUUUAUUCGCCAUUCAGCGUUCCCACAGGGGUCCCGGCCCUCUUUGGAAAGAAGGAAGUGGGACUCUUUCUCCGUGUAGACUACCAGGCUCUGAACAAAAUGGUAGUUUGGAACCACAGAUUUCAUUGUAGAACUCCCUGAAUCAAAUGGUCACACGGUAUAACUGAUUAUCAUAGAUCAACUGACAGAGAUGGCAGGCUUCAUCUGCUGUGACCGCGUAUCUUUGGCUGAAAGCACAGUUCAGCUCCAAAUUUGAAAACCAGAAUGCCAAUCUCAACUCUUUUUGCUAGAUAGAUUAACCCCUGAUUUCAGCCCACACUACCAAUGGCCUCUCCAAACUUGCCAGACAACAACCUGGUUCUAUGAAUCCAUCACAUUCAAGAAGAACUAAGGGGGCACCUCGAGGACACUAGGAAGGACUUCAAAUAGUAUGCAGACUGCCAUGACAGGAGGGGUCUUCUCAGUAGAGAAACUCUUUGCUGAAUGGAGGAAAAGCAUCUCCAAAGGAGGUAUAUAAGGAUCGUGGACUCUAUUGCCUGCAAGAAGCUGCAGUCACCUUCACAGGGUAGGACUCACGGUCUGUCAUGGAGGUUAAGACCGGAUGGGAGUUGAUGGAUUGACCUUGAUAUGUCAUGUCCUUGGGUGGAUGAAGGACCUACAUCACAGAGGUGGACAGCAGCAGAUGUUCCACACAUGGCCAGGAAUGGGCUAAACAACCUACAACAAUAGGCAAAGUCAGCCUUUUCCUGACAAUGAGGAAGUAACAAACAAGAAGAUAUGCAUUAGGCAUGGAGUUCUCUCACAUUUUCCAGAAACCUGAAAGAUGAUCAUGGAGCCAAAGAAAACCUACACUGGGGAAAAAAAUAAUCACUGGUAUUAUCGGAACUCCAGCUGCCAGGAUCAAUUAAGGAGACUUACCUUGAGAAGCAGAGAAAGCUGCAGGAGGGAAAGAUCAGAUUUGUAAAAUGUGAAGGUUUUGAGGAGCAAAUACAAAGUAUGUAUACUGUAGUAGGCUACUUGCCAAUGUAGGGCCAACUUAUGUUUAGUCCUGACCAGAUACACACGGGAUUCCAAGAAGCCUUCCCCCUCUCAAACCCCAGCACAGGAACCAAGCACAGUAUGACUGUGGAAUGCAGGUACCAUGCUGUGUUAGUGCCGCCAAAGGCAUCGGCCACCCUGAAGGAAGUGGAGAGAGCUGAGUUGUGGGGGGUCCAUGCUCCCCAGGUCCUGAAUCUAUUAGCUGGUUGGGGGCAAAGUUAUGGUGAGGGGGCUCAGCUAUUUAAAGCGUGAUUGAGCUACUGCUGCAGCCUAUGCUCUCCUGGAGCCCCAGGAGGUAGCAUUGCCACUUGCCAGGUGUCCACCCGCUCAAACACUCGGUCAAAAAGGGACCCUCUGCAGCCCUCCCCAGCCU